rnacentral:rRNA from 1 species
AUUGAACGCUGGCGGCAGGCCUAACACAUGCAAGUCGAGCGGAGCGGCGGACGGGGGGGGAAUACAUCGGGAUCUACUCUGUCGUGGGGGAGAACGUAGGGAAACUUCCGCUAAUACCACAUAAGAUUGAAUGAGCCUCGGUGGGAUUAGCUAGUUGGUGGGGUAAAGGCCUACCAAGGCGACGAUCCGUAGCUGGUCUGAGAGGAUGAUCAGCCACACUGGAACUGAGACACGGUCCAGACUCCUACGGGAGGCAGCAGUGGGGAAUAUUGGACAAUGGGCGCAAGCCUGAUCCAGCCAUGCCGCGUGUGUGAAGAAGGUCUUCGGAUUGUAAAGCACUUUAAGUUGGGAGGCGUUACCAACAGAAUAAGCACCGGCUAACUCCGUGCCAGCCGCCGCGGUAAUUC